rnacentral:tRNA from 1 species
GGCAGUGUGAGCUAGUGGAAAGAGCACUGGACUGGAACUCUGGAGACCUGGGUGCUAUUCUCAGCUCUGCCA